rnacentral:rRNA from 1 species
UACGUAGGGGGCUAGCGUUGUCCGGAUUUAUUGGGCGUAAAGAGCGUGUAGGCGGCCAGGUAGGUCUGCUGUGAAAACUCGAGGCUCAACCUCGAGACGUCGGCGGAAACCAUCUGGCUAGAGUCCGGAAGAGGAGAGUGGAAUUCCUGGUGUAGCGGUGAAAUGCGCAGAUAUCACUUGGAACGCCAACGGUGAAAACAGCUCGCUGGGGGUAUCCUGACGCUGAGACACGAAAGCCAGGGGAGCAAACGGG